AGAGUUUGAUUCUGGCUCAGAGCGAACGUUGGCGAUGCGUCUUAAGCAUGCAAGUCGAGCGGGCUUAUUCGGGCAACUGGAUAAGUUAGCGGCGAACUGGUGAGUAACACGUAGGUAAUCUGCCGUGAAGCGGGGGAUAACCCAUGGAAACAUGGACUAAUACCGCAUAUACUCUUGCUACAUAAGUAGAGUAGAGGAAAGUUUUUUCGCUUCACGAUGAGCCUGCGGCCUAUUAGCCUGUUGGUAGGGUAAUGGCCUACCAAAGCUACGAUAGGUAGCCGACCUGAGAGGGUGACCGGCCACAUUGGGACUGAGAUACGGCCCAGACUCCUACGGGAGGCAGCAGCUGAGAAUCUUCCACAAUGGACGAAAGUCUGAUGGAGCGACAUCGCGUGAGGGAUGAAGGCCUUCGGGUUGUAAACCUCGGAAAUUAUCGAAGAAUGAGUGACAGUAGAUAAUGUAAGCCUCGGCUAACUACGUGCCAGCAGCCGCGGUAAUACGUAGGAGGCAAACGUUGCUCGGAUUUACUGGGCGUAAAGGGUGAGUAGGCGGAUUUAUAAGUCUAAGGUGAAAGACCGAAGCUCAACUUCGGGAACGCCUCGGAUACUGUAAGUCUUGGAUAUUGUAGGGGAUGAUGGAAUUCUCGGUGUAGCGGUGGAAUGCGCAGAUAUCGAGAGGAACACCUAUAGCGAAGGCAGUCAUCUGGGCAUUUAUCGACGCUGAAUCACGAAAGCUAGGGGAGCAAACAGGCUUAGAUACCCUGGUAGUCCUAGCCGUAAACGUUGUACACUAGGUGCUUCUAUUUAAAUAGGAGUGCCGUAGCUAACGUCUUAAGUGUACCGCCUGAGGAGUAUGCCCGCAAGGGUGAAACUCAAAGAAAUUGACGGGUCCCCGCACAAGUGGUGGAGCAUGUGGUUUAAUUCGAUGAUACGCGAAAAACCUUACCUGGGUUUGAAUUGUUAGAUGAAUGAUUUAGAGAUAAGUCAGACCGCAAGGACGUUUAACAUAGGUGCUGCAUGGCUGUCGUCAGCUCGUGUCGUGAGAUGUUGGGUUAAGUCCCGCAACGAGCGCAACCCUCACCCUCUGUUGCUACCGAGUAAUGUCGAGCACUCUUAGGGGACUGCCUACGUUCAAGUAGGAGGAAGGUGGGGAUGAUGUCAAGUCCUCAUGGCCCUUAUGUCCAGGGCUACACACGUGCUACAAUGGCAAGUACAAAGAGAAGCAAGACCGCGAGGUGGAGCAAAACUCAAAAAAGUUGCCUCAGUUCGGAUUGGAGUCUGAAACUCGACUCCAUGAAGUUGGAAUCACUAGUAAUCGUAGAUCAGAACGCUACGGUGAAUACGUUCCCGGGGAUUGUACACACCGCCCGUCACGCCAUCGGAGUUGGUUUUACCUGAAGCCGUUAGCCUAACCGCAAGGAGGGCGGCGUCGAAGGUGGGACUGAUGAUGAGGGUGAAGUCGUAACAAGGCAGCCGUACCGGAAGGUGUGGCUGGAUCACCUCCUUUAUUCGGAGUUUGUCCUUUUAAACUCUUACUGCUAUUCAUAUUUGAAAGAACUUUUAUAUAUCUAUACCUCGUUAAUAACUAGCCUACUCGGCUGGUUUUUUUGUAUCUAAUUCUUUAUUAAGAGAAACAUUUUAUAUUGAUAAAAACAUUUUAUAACCGCACGCAAAAUAAAAUCUCUAUAUAAUAAAACUACAAAUUAUAUAUAGAAUAAAAUAUAUAAUAUUUUUCAAACGUGCGUUAAAUAGUAGUUAAAAUAUAAAAUAAAUCUUGGGUGGGUAAUGCUUUAUUUAGUAGGCAUUAUAAAAAAUUGAAUUAUAGAUUAUAAUAAAUACAACAAACCUAUAGAGUGGGUAAUGUAAAUAAAAUUUUUAAAAAUUAAUUAAAAUAUUGGCUUUUCUAUGUCUUCUGAAUUUCUUUUUAUUUCUUUUACGAGUAUGUAUUCUAUUUUAAUAUUUUUUUCUUUGGCAGUUUUUUUGUUUGUGUCGGCGUUGGCUUUACCUAUAACUUUGGCAGGGGCAUCUGUAAUUACUAUUACUACUUUAUUGUCAUUUUUGUAAUCAAAAUCUUCUAAAGCUUUUUGUAUUGCUUCAUACAUAGGUUCUGCUUUAUCUCCUCCUCCGCUAGCAUAAAAAUAAUUAACAUCUCUAUAUAUUUUGUUUAUGUUAUUAUCGAAAUCUAUUUUUUUAGUGAGGUAUGUAUCUUUCACAUCUCUAUAAAGCAAAAAACCAAUUCUUGAAUUAAUAUCUUUUUUAAAUACUUGCUUGCUUAUAGAUUUUAUUUCUUCUUUUAUUGAAGUUAAGUAUGGAUGCAUACUUUCUGUUGUAUCUAAGACUAAUACUAAAUCUACUGCUGAGUUAUAUUUAUUUAUAAUAUUAUAAACUUGAGUAUUCAAAUCUUUUUCAUCAUCAGCAUAAUGACUUUUUAAUUCACUAGCUUUGUUUAAAGAAUCUAUUGCUUCGCCAUCAAAAAAAUUUCUUUCUAUGUUAUUAUUUAUUUGAUUUUUUCUUACUAUCAUUUCAUUUGUAUUUAAUUCUAUAAUUUCUUGAUUAGGAGGUUCUAUUAUAGGAGGAACAUUAACUUUUUCUUCUGUAGUUGUUGUAUUAUUUGUGAUAUUGUUUGUUAUUUUGUUUUCUAUUAUAUAAUCUAUAGGAUAAGUAAAAGUUUCUCCUUUAGUAUUAAAAACAUUAAAUGAUAAAUAUCUAUCUUCUGGUAAUUUUUUAAAAUAUGCUUUUAUAUAUAAUUGUUUUCCUAUUUUGCUGUUGUAUGUAUCUUCUAAUACUAUUCCAUUAUUAUCUGCUUUUACUGUAUAAUUUAAUGAAGUUUUAAUUAAUUUAUAUGUAGUGUUAGUUAAACCCUCUCUCACAUAAAAUGCAUAUUUACCAUUUUCUCCUCCAGAAUAGUAAAGAUAAAAUGCGUAUAAAUCACCUUCUUUUUCUACAUUUCUUAAUGUUAUUAUAGGGUUAGUUUUUUUAUUAUUAUCUAUUUUAAAUAAAAAUUUUGAAUCUGUUACAAUAUUUCCAUUAUUAUCUAAUGCCUCUAAUAUAAGUUCCAUAUUAUCUGCUAGUAAAAUUCUGGCAUUUCCAUUAUUAGUAUCCAAAUAUACAGAUUCUCCUAUAGAUGCUUGUAAAGCUGUUCCUAAUUUAUUAUGUAUUGAUACUUUAUUAAUAUUUAUUAAUGAGUUAGCAUCAGAUGACUGAUUUAAAUAAAGAUAUGAGUAUUUAUUAUUUUGUAAUUUAAAUAAUAGUCUUAU
rnacentral:rRNA from 1 species